AGAGUUUGAUCCUGGCUCAGGAUGAACGCUGGCGGCGUGCUUAACACAUGCAAGUCGAACGCACCUUCGGGUGAGUGGCGGACGGGUGAGUAACGCGUGGGAAUCUGCCCUUAGGAGGGGGAUAACGGCUGGAAACGGCCGCUAAUACCCCAUAUGCCGAGAGGUGAAACGAAUUUCGCCUGAGGAUGAGCCCGCGUCUGAUUAGCUAGUUGGUGGGGUAAGAGCCCACCAAGGCGACGAUCAGUAGCUGGUCUGAGAGGAUGAUCAGCCACACUGGGACUGAGACACGGCCCAGACUCCUACGGGAGGCAGCAGUGGGGAAUUUUCCGCAAUGGGCGAAAGCCUGACGGAGCAACGCCGCGUGAGGGAUGAAGGCCUCUGGGCUGUAAACCUCUUUUCUCAAGGAAGAAGACAUGACGGUACUUGAGGAAUAAGCCACGGCUAAUUCCGUGCCAGCAGCCGCGGUAAUACGGGAGUGGCAAGCGUUAUCCGGAAUUAUUGGGCGUAAAGCGUCCGCAGGCGGCUCUGUAAGUCUGUUGUUAAAGCGUGGAGCUCAACUCCAUUUCAGCAAUGGAAACUACAGGGCUUGAGUGUGGUAGGGGCAGAGGGAAUUCCCGGUGUAGCGGUGAAAUGCGUAGAUAUCGGGAAGAACACCAGUGGCGAAGGCGCUCUGCUGGGCCAUAACUGACGCUCAUGGACGAAAGCCAGGGGAGCGAAAGGGAUUAGAUACCCCUGUAGUCCUGGCCGUAAACGAUGAACACUAGGUGUCGGGGGAAUCGACCCCCUCGGUGUCAUAGCCAACGCGUUAAGUGUUCCGCCUGGGGAGUACGCACGCAAGUGUGAAACUCAAAGGAAUUGACGGGGGCCCGCACAAGCGGUGGAGUAUGUGGUUUAAUUCGAUGCAACGCGAAGAACCUUACCAGGGUUUGACAUCCUGCGAAUCCCUUGGAAACUUGGGAGUGCCUUCGGGAGCGCAGAGACAGUUGGUGCAUGGCUGUCGUCAGCUCGUGUCGUGAGAUGUUGGGUUAAGUCCCGCAACGAGCGCAACCCACGUCUUUAGUUGCCAGCAUUCAGUUGGGCACUCUAGAGAGACCGCCGGUGAUAAACCGGAGGAAGGUGUGGAUGACGUCAAGUCAUCAUGCCCCUUACAUCCUGGGCUACACACGUACUACAAUGCUACGGACAGAGGGCAGCAAGCUCGCGAGAGUUAGCAAAUCCCAUAAACCGUGGCUCAGUUCAGAUCGUAGGCUGCAACUCGCCUACGUGAAGGAGAAAUCGCUAGUAAUCGCAGGUCAGCAUACUGCGGUGAAUACGUUCCCGGGCCUUGUACACACCGCCCGUCACACCAUGGAAGUUGGCCAUGCCCGAAGUCGUUACC
rnacentral:rRNA from 1 species